GCUGGCGGCGUGCUUAACACAUGCAAGUCGAACGGUAAUGCCCUUCGGGGUACACGAGUGGCGAACGGGUGAGUAACACGUGGGUAAUCUGCCCUGCACAUCGGGAUAAGCCUGGGAAACUGGGUCUAAUACCGAAUAGGACCACAGAACACAUGUCCUGUGGUGGAAAGCUUUUGCGGUGUGGGAUGGGCCCGCGGCCUAUCAGCUUGUUGGUGGGGUGAUGGCCCACCAAGGCGACGACGGGUAGCCGGCCUGAGAGGGGGUCCGGCCACACUGGGACUGAGAUACGGCCCAGACUCCUACGGGAGGCAGCAG
rnacentral:rRNA from 1 species